CCCAUUAGGAGAUUUUUUAAAAACCAUCUUGCAACUGAUUGGUAGGAAUGAACAUGGAAUUUUAACUGCUAGAAAGGAUUUAGACUACAUUGGAUGAGAAGAACUGUUGGAAGCCUUGAAGAGGCAAAAGGGUACGUUUGAAACCGGUCAAGAAGAUAGUACUGAAAUUCUGGAGGAGUUAAAGCUGAGGUUGGCAUACAGGGAAGCAGCUGUGGCUGUUCUUGCAUGCUACAAUCCAAAUCCUCACCGUCCUUUCACUGAGACUAAUAUUCGUUCCAUUCGCAGCAAGCCAAAUAUGCAUUAUGUUGAGACUACUGGAAGGUUUUUUUGAGAAAGUUAGAUUAUGUAGAAUCUAUAGUCCGUUCAUGUGCCC